rnacentral:rRNA from 1 species
UUACCGGUUUGACAUGAAAGAGAUUUUCGCACAGGUGCUGCAUGGCUGUCGUCAGCUCGUGCCGUGAGGUGUUGGGUUAAGUCCCGCAACGAGCGCAACCCUAUUUUAGUUGCCAUCGUACGGGACUCUAGGAGACUGCCGACAUAAUCGGAGGAAGGUGGGGAUGACGUCAAGUCAGCAUGGCCCUUACGCCGGGCUACACACGUGCUACAAUGGGGUACAAGGGGCACCGCGAGGGGAGCAAUCUCAAAACCGUCUCAGUUCGGAUUGUAGGCUGCAACUCGCCUACAUGAAGUCGGAAUCACUAGUAACCGCAAUCAGCACGUGCGGUGAAUACGUUCCCGGGCCUUGUACACACCGCCCGUCACGUUANGAAAGUUUGUGACCGAA